UAUUUCUUUUGGUCUACGUUCCUUCUACUAACUCUCCCUGAUAAGGAAUAAUCCUAGAGGGAACUGGUUAUAUGUUCAAUGAAUGAAGAAUUUUUAAAAAUUAAAUUUUUCUUAUUGUUUAAAAGAUUUAAAUCUGAAUAUAUUCUGUGCAUGCGUCAUAUAUGAAGUUUAAAAGAAUCAUACACAAAGAGAAAUCAUUUUAAGAAGUAGACUAUCAAGUUAAUUUCCUUCUAAACUGGUCAUUUCUAUUGGGUCAUCCUUAAGACAUGAAUGAAUUCAUACCAUGAGGAAAUCUAUACUUUUUUUUUUUCUUGAGGAGAUCUAUACUUUAUGCCCUUGGGAGAUUAUUAAGCCAAAUUGUUGUCUUUCUAAGAAAUAGCAGCUUAGAGAUGACUUUUCAGAAAAAAAAAA